rnacentral:rRNA from 1 species
AUGAUGGAGAUGAUGAUUUAUAUGAAGACAACAUUGAUUUUGAUGUUUGAUGAAGAAGCUGAGCAAGUUGAGGAAGAGGUGGAGCCAGACUAUUUACUUGAGGAUGAAGAUCUAAACCUCUUUGUUGAAGGGCAAGAGCAACUGGAAUACAAGUUCAAAGCUUUCAAUUCCAAGGUGGACAUGAAAUCCCCUAUAUUUAACUUAGGGAUGGUAUUUGCUGAUGUGGUUGUGCUGAGGAAAGCCCUUACUGCUUAUUCUAUAAGGAAUAGAGUGCAAAUCAAGAAGGUCAAGAAUGAUAAGAUGAGAUUAGAGGCUGUCUGUCAGAGAGGUUGCCCAUGGCUGCUUAAAGCUAGCAAGGACAACAAGACUGGAGGAUUUGUCAUGAAGGCCUACUUUGGAGAGCAUGUCUAUCAGAAAAAGUGGAAGUUGAAGGAUUUGACAGCUAAGUUUCUUUGCCAGUUGUUCUUGGAUGAAUUUAGAGAUGACCAGAAGAUGUCACUUGGAACAUUUUCAAGGAAAAUUACUAAGGAAUUCAAUGUUACUCCUAACAGAUGGAAGCUUGCUAGGGCUAGAAAGGAAGCACUUAAUGAGAUUCAUGGUGAUGAGGAAGAGCAAUUCAGUAGGCUUUGGGACUAUGGACAAGAAUUGAGAACCAAAAACCCUGGGUCUACAUUUCUGCUCACAACUUCAGUGGUGAAAGAUACAAAAUUUCCAUUGGGCAGGAAAUGUUUGAAAACAUUGUACUGGUCAUAUGAUGCAUGUAAGAGAGGAUGGCUAAAGGGCUGCAGGCCAAUCAUUUUCGUUGACGGUUGUCACAUGAAAACAAGGUUCAAAGGAGUGCUACUUAGUGCUGUUGGUAUUGAUCCCAAUGACUGCAUAUUCCCAAUUGCAAUUGGAUGGGUGGAAGUUGAGUGCACAGGUUCAUGGGAGUGGUUUCUGACCACUCUCAGAGAUGAUCUCAACAUCACUAACACUGCCCCUUUCACAAUCAUGAGUGACAAACAGAAAGGUUUAAUAAAUGCAGUGCACAAAGUUUGGCCAGAUUAA